AUUGAACGCUGGCGGCAUGCCUUACACAUGCAAGUCGAACGGCAGCACGGGAGCAAUCCUGGUGGCGAGUGGCGAACGGGUGAGCAAUAUAUCGGAACGUGCCCAGUCGUGGGGGAUAACGCAGCGAAAGCUGUGCUAAUACCGCAUACGAUCUACGGAUGAAAGCGGGGGAUCGCAAGACCUCGCGCGAUUGGAGCGGCCGAUAUCAGAUUAGCUAGUUGGUGGGGUAAAGGCCCACCAAGGCGACGAUCUGUAGCUGGUCUGAGAGGACGACCAGCCACACUGGAACUGAGACACGGUACAGACUCCUACGGGAGGCAGCAGUGGGGAAUUUUGGACAAUGGGCGCAAGCCUGAUCCAGCAAUGCCGCGUGCAGGAUGAAGGCCUUCGGGUUGUAAACUACUUUUGUACGGAACGAAACGGCCCUUUCUAAUACAGGGGGCUAAUGACGGUACCGUAAGAAUAAGCACCGGCUAACUACGUGCCAGCAGCCGCCGUAA
rnacentral:rRNA from 1 species